GCCCCCUUCUCAAGGCUGGGAAAACUGAAGUGGCCUCAGAAAAGGAGAUAAGCCCAGGCCAGGGGGAUUCCCAGGUCUAGCGGGCUUUCUCGGCCUCUGCUAAACCAUCUGGACCACAGGGAGCCAAGCCCAGGCUGGUGGCCCUCCCCUUCCCCACUCAGAGUGCAGGGCUGGUAAGAAGUCAUUUUUUGUUCAUCCUGUUAUUUUUAAUUUUUUUUCAAGUUUUUUUUUUCCUCCCAGGGCUUAGUUCCGUAGGAGUAGCACCCUAAGUGAGACGGAUGUUCAGAGUUCCUGAGGCGAGCGCAGCCCCCACCAGCCCUGCAGGCAAGAGGCAGAUGAAUUUACUGUGCUGUUUCCUGGAACGCUUUAAUUUAUAGCAUCCAUAUGGAGACACUGCCCAGCCACGGCCCCCGCAAACUCCCCGGCAGGCACGCAGGCUGGAGCCAGGAGGCACCACAUCGGGCCACACACAUCAUUUCUUCAUUCAUUGAUUCUUUCCUCGGGACCUGGGGGUCUCUCACUGAACCUGGCGCUCAGCUGACAGCCGACAAGCCAUCCUCCCCCACUGCCAUCACAGAGGUUGUGGGAAUGUAACAGUGAGAAAUGGCAGCUGAACCACAGGGAGGUUCCUCAGGGUGACAAAAAAUAAAAAUAGCUCUAAUUGAA